rnacentral:snoRNA from 1 species
CCAGGUCUGCACUCAGUGUUCUGAGCUUUGAACAUUUGAAUGAUGAAUAG